CCCUUAGAUGUUCUGGGCCGCACGCGCGCUACACUGAUGCAUUCAACGAGCCUAUCCUGACCGACAGGUCCGGGUAAUCUUUGAAUCUGCAUCGUGACGGGGAUAGAUUAUUGCAAUUAUUAAUCUUCAACGAGGAAUGCCUAGUAGGCGCAAGUCAUCAGCUUGCGUCGAUUACGUCCCUGCCCUUUGUACACACCGCCCGUCGCUCCUACCGAUUGGGUGUGCUGGUGAAAUGUUCGGAUCGGCCGUUUGUCGCGGUUUCCGCGUCAUGUGGCUGAGAAGUUCAUUAAACCCUCCCACCUAGAGGAAGGAGAAGUCGUAACA
rnacentral:rRNA from 1 species